rnacentral:rRNA from 1 species
AUUGAACGCUGGCGGAAUGCUUUACACAUGCAAGUCGAACGGCAGCACGGACUUCGGUCUGGUGGCGAGUGGCGAACGGGUGAGUAAUGUAUCGGAACGUGCCCAGUCGUGGGGGAUAACGUAGUGAAGAUUACGCUAAUACCGCAUACGAUCUAUGGAUGAAAGCGGGGGAUCGCAAGACCUCGCGCGAUUGGAGCGGCCGAUAUCAGAUUAGGUAGUUGGUGGGGUAAAGGCCCACCAAGCCAACGAUCUGUAGCUGGUCUGAGAGGACGAACAGCCACACUGGAACUGAGACACGGUCCAGACUCCUACGGGAGGCAGCAGUGGGGAAUUUUGGACAAUGGGCGAAAGCCUGAUCCAGCCAUUCCGCGUGCAGGAUGAGGGCCCUCGGGUUGUAAACUGCUUUUGUACAGAACGAAGAGGUUUCUACUAAUACUAGGAGCUCAUGACGGUACUGUAAGAAUAAGCACCGGCUAACUACGUGCCAGCCGCCGCCGUAA